rnacentral:sRNA from 1 species
GAUUCAAGACUGUUUUUCUUACCUCUUCGGUGCUUCUUUCAGCAAUAUAAAGUUAAAACCGGGUCCUGCUCUGCUCUGACCAAUGGGGGAUUGAACCUGCACAGUCCGGUGAAGAGGAAGCUGGAAGCGGAGAAGGACUACGUCUUUGACAAAAGGCUCAGAUACAGUGUCCGCCAGAAUGAAAGCAACUGUCGGUUUCGAGACAUCGUCGUGCGGAAGGAAGAAGGGUUCACGCACAUCCUGCUGUCCAGUCAGACCUCGGAUAACAAUGCCCUGACACCUGAGAUCAUGAAAGAAGUCCGGCGAGCGCUCUGCAACGCAGCCACAGACGACAGCAAACUGCUGCUCCUCAGCGCAGUGGGGAGCGUGUUCUGCAGCGGCCUGGAUUAUUCCUACCUAAUUGGCCGGUUGUCCAGCGACCGGCGAAAGGAGAGCACUCGGAUUGCAGAAGCCAUCAGGGACUUUGUGAAGGCCUUUAUCCAGUUUAAGAAGCCUAUCGUGGUGGCCAUCAAUGGGCCGGCCCUGGGCCUGGGUGCCUCCAUCCUGCCCCUCUGUGACAUCGUGUGGGCCAGUGAGAAGGCCUGGUUCCAGACGCCCUAUGCCACCAUCCGCCUCACGCCUGCUGGCUGCUCCUCCUACACCUUCCCCCAGAUCC